AUCCCACUGGAUAGCUCAGUUGGUAAGAGUGUAGUGCUAGUAACACCAAGGUUGCAAGUUCGAUCCCUGUUUGGGGUA